rnacentral:rRNA from 1 species
AGAGUUUGAUCCUGGCUCAGGACGAACGCUGGCGGCGUGCUUAACACAUGCAAGUCGAGCGGAAAGGCCCUUCGGGGUACUCGAGCGGCGAACGGGUGAGUAACACGUGAGUAACCUGCCCCUGACUCUGGGAUAAGCCCGGGAAACUGGGUCUAAUACCGGAUACGACCACUUCAGGCAUCUGAUGGUGGUGGAAAGAUUUCUUGGUUGGGGAUGGACUCGCGGCCUAUCAGCUUGUUGGUGGGGUAGUGGCCUACCAAGGCGACGACGGGUAGCCGGCCUGAGAGGGCGACCGGCCACACUGGGACUGAGACACGGCCCAGACUCCUACGGGAGGCAGCAGUGGGGAAUAUUGGACAAUGGGCGGAAGCCUGAUCCAGCAACGCCGCGUGAGGGAUGACGGCCUUCGGGUUGUAAACCUCUUUCAGCACAGGCGAAGCUGCCAUCACGUGUGGUGGUGGUGACGGUAUGUGCAGAAGAAGCACCGGCCAACUACGUGCCAGCCGCCGCGGUAAUAC